GAAAACAAUACAAUUAUGUAAACAACAAAGUUUAGGGGAACAAGAAAGAAAGGAAGAGGCGUAAACCUAAACAUCUAAAACCCUUUACAUUUUCCUAUCACCCUCACGUGCUUCAGCUUCUUCUUCUCCACGCCGGCGUCUCUUCCCUUUCAGCAGUUCAGCGUCGCCGCCGCCACUCCGCCGCUCGUGCUGCCACACCAUAUCUCCUGGUGGGUUGCAUUGAGUUUCUACUCUCUUGUUGUUGGCCCUGAAUCAUGGGGUUUUCAAAUAUCAGAGAUCUAUUGACAUCUUUUAGUCCAGAUUUGCACUUCUUUGCUAUCAGCUCUGGAGAUGGUCGGAUUAAGAUUUGGGACACGUUGAAGGGGCAGAUACAGACUGAGUUCGCAGACUUCUUUACAUCUGAUUCAACAAGCAUACUCACGAAACCAGAAAAAGGGCAUCUAUCAGUUGAUUAUAAAUGCAUGAAGUGGUUGUCAUUGGAGAAAAAGAGAAAAAGAAAGCGCCAAUGUUUGCUAUUGUUGUUAGGAACUGGUAGUGGUGAUGUUCUGGCCCUUGAUGUAGCAGCUGGUGAAUUGAAGUGGAAAAUAAGUGAUUGUCAUCCUGGGGGUGUUGCAUCGAUUUCGUUUCCUACACAUGGUUCAUGCAUUUAUACUGCUGGUGCUGAUGGAAUGCUAUGCGAAAUCAAUUCUUUGACGGGAAACCUGUUGAGGAAGUUCAAGGCUUCUACAAAGGCAAUAUCCUGUAUUUCAGUUUCACCAGAUGGGAAGAUAAUUGCAACUGCAGCUUCCCAAGUGAAGAUCUUCAACUGCUCCAAUCACAAAAAGAUACAGAAGUUUUCUGGGCAUCCCGGAGCCGUUCGAUGCAUGGUUUUUACCGAAGAUGGAAGGUACAUCCUUUCAUCUGCAGUUGGUGAAAGGUAUAUUGUUGUUUGGAGUGUAGAUGGAGGGAAAGAACAAUCAGCUAGUUGUGUUCUUGCAAUGGAGCAUCCUGCCAUCUUUGUGGACAGCAGGUGUUCGAAUGAUGGAGGUGAUGAAACUGCUCUGUACAUUUUAGCCAUAUCAGAAAUCGGUGCUUGUUAUUUAUGGUAUGGACAGAAUCUUGAGGAGUUACGAACUGCCAAGCCUACUAAAAUAUUGAUGUCUGGUAAUGAUAUUUUCUCAAAGAGUAAAAAACGGGCUAUACCUGCAAUUUAUGCUGCAAAAUUACAAGGAGUUCCCAAGUCUGGGUCAGGGCAGGUGUUCCUUGCUCAUGGAUUGCUAGUGAAGCCUUCAUUUCAGAGCGUUUUGGUGCAAUCCGGAACAGACAUAAAUUUAAACAGCUCCAACGAAGGAAUUCUUCUACCAAGUCAGUCGAUUGGAAAAUCUAAGAAGGGUUUAGAUGUACAGGGUGGAGUCGUUGCAUUAGAUCGAGCUAAUGCUGAAGAUGCUUUACGGCCAAUUCCAAAGAUUUUCGAUUCUCAAGAGAAAAGUACCUUGUACCAAGAUUUGCAAGUUGAUCGCAGUGAUGUGAUGACUCAAUUGGUUGACAGUGGGAGCCGAUUAGAAGAUGAUGUUGGAGUGAAGGACUCUGCAGCAGUUUGCAUGGAGGACCAACUUCGAUCGUUAGGCAUACUCCAUAAUACAGAUGAUCAUAUGUUGGAGUCCAUUCUUAAGUUGGCGAUAUCCAAGGGCAUUGAUCUCGAAGCUAACAUCUCACAGAAAAAGUUAAGAGAAGCAGUUUUAUCAUUAGCACCAGGCGAUGCAUACAAGUUACUCGGAAACUUGGUUAACAUCUGGCAAUCAAGGUUGCAUUGCGGAAAGAAUGUUCUACCAUGGAUAUACAGUUUAUUGUUGAAUCACAGUCAACAUAUCUUGUCUCAAGAACAAUCGGCCCAGAUGCUCGAUUCUUUAUUUAAGUUUGCAGAGAAGGACAGAUGUUCUCAGCUUCUUCUGUCGCCGUACUCACCAUCUCAGAGUUCUGAAAAGCGAAAACUGCCAGCCUUGAGUUCGACUUCUCCACACGCCAAAUAUCAAUCGGGUUCGGAUCCGGGCCGCCCGGACCUUUGAAGAAAUUCUCAGCUUGUUCUGGCAAGAAGGAUCCAUGGAUUCCGGCGACUUUAUCAAUAAGAAGAUUGGGAUCUUGGAAGGAAGCCACCUGCACAAGAUAAGAAUCGGGUCCUUCUAUCAGCUCAAAAUCCGCCGGAAUGAAGCCUCAGUAGUUCCCUCUAACUUUGAUAUUCACUUCCAAACAGUUAAUGAGGCUCGAAUUUUCUUCCGCAAACUCAAUGAAGCCUCCAAACUUAUCACCAACCCUCUUAAACACCUCCUCGUUCCACAGAUGCAGGGGAAAAUUUCUUAGUUUAAUCCAUCCUCCAUAAGAUGGAACAAGCGCCAUUCUCCCAUGUUUAUUUGGAUCCCACCAUUCCAUUUUCAAGGUUAAAGGGCCAUAGGUAGCCCAGCCCUUGUUCAUUGUGAGAAGUCUAGCUAUCGUCUGAUCAGGGCAUUUGAGCAAAGCUUUAUCAGCGUGGAACGGAUUGAUAAUAAAGGUUUUUUGUGUUUGAUUCUGAAGGACAUCCAAAAUCCUCUGCCAGUCGUCAUGGAAAUCGCGCUUAGUGACCACCAGUGUGUCCUCUCAGCAAAUCUUUCUAACUCUUUUUUCUCCUUUGCUUCUGUCUUCCUCUUGACUAAGAAUUACCCUUGGAUACCCUCCAUGGUUAGAAAUUCGCAAAGGAUGACGAAGCUGAUAAUGAGUUUCCAGUCUGUUUCCAAAAGAAGGCUUAUGGGUUAAUUUCUUCUCAGAGUGAAAGGCCCUAGAGUCGACUUCAUCAUUCAAAAAAUCCAUCAAUAAGCGCCUAAAACUUUCCCAGCCUUUUAAAUCAACACCAGCUGGGACCACUUUCAGCACCUUCGAAAUCUCCAAAAAGCUUCCUCUCUUGUUUGUCGUUUUUUGAAUCCAGGUGAAACCUCCAUUACAGAAUGUCUUUCUAAAAAAAUUUUGGGGCUUCGGGGUCUGCAGAACUUCCUCCAAGGACGCCAGCCAGCCAAAAAGAGUUUCCUCUCCUAAAAGGGUAUAAGACUUAUUCAAAUGAGCUUCGGUUAGGCGAAUCACCCUUCCUCUACUAUUCGAAUCAAACUCACACGAGAAGGAUUUAUUUUCGAUUUUUGUCGAAAUCCGUUUUGAUGUCCCCAUAGUCUCAGUGAGGAGAUGAUCGGAGAGGGUGAAGUCAGUCGGGGAUGAAGAGAUAAGCGGAGGAAGUAGGUAGAGCAGUGAGGACGGGAGGUUGCAGGUAAAGGAAUCGUCGGAGGCCAUCAACACGAGAGACGGCAGGGGAGCACUCUCUCUCUCUCUCUCUCUCUCUCUAUUUUCAGUCUUUGUUCAAAUUUACUUCAAUAAAUCUUAAAAAUAAUCCCAAAGGUUAGUUUAUUGUAGAUUAUUCCAAGAAAAAAUUUCUAGUAACGUUCUCCUUAGAUGUUGGACACAUAUUUAUGUAGCCUCUUUUCUUGCAUAAAAAUCAGUAUCAAUUUAACUGAUUUCCAUUAAAAAAAAAUUCAAAAGGACUAUGUAUGCGGAUUAAAUUUGGACAUAAUAGAAGGAUAUUCAUAUUACAAGACGAAAUUGGUAUCUCUUGACCUCAAUCUGUAAUAAGAGAUCUCAAUGUUUUUUUCAAGGAAAAAAAAGGGUAUUUGAGAGUUUAGUUUUUUUUCCUCCAUCAGAUUACCAAAUCCAAAGAGACUGCGGUUCAGCCUCUUCUUCAAUUAUCAGGUCGUUUGCAGUUGGUGUUGGCACAAAUUGAAAGGACAUCAACCAACAAAACCAAACAAACGAUUCAAGACAGUCUUGAAAUAGCUGGAAGUGAAAGCAGCGAUGACGACGAAGAUGAAGAUGAAGACGAUGAAGUUGAUGAUGUUCUUUAUGGGGAAGAAGAAAAUGAAUCUGAAUUAAGUAGUGAUGAUGAGAAAUAGAUUCCUUUUUUCAUGUUGUAAUUGUAAUGAUCAAUUUUGGGAAAUCAAAUAGGCUUUUAAUCAUAUACUUUGUAACAAUUGAUGAUGAAAUUUGGCAAAAUGAGAAAAUUUUGGCAUGUGGAACUAAUAACCUUCUCUUACAAUCUUAUGCCCUGAUUUGAUAA